AGAGCAAGGUACCAGAAAUGAUUGCUAGUGUCGAGGCGUUGCUGGAAAGCAAAGUCUGUAAUUAAGAAGAAGUAUGGCCAAGAUGCAACAAAUGUUGGUGAUGAGGGUGACAUUGCUCUAAUAUCCAGGAGAACAAGGAAGGUCUUGAAUUGCUUAAAACAGCUAUUGCUAAAGCUGGUUACACUGGUAAA